rnacentral:lncRNA from 1 species
GAUUUUUGUAUUGAUUUGUUUGCUGUUUAAACCUACAGUAUUUUGCUGAGAAAGAGGAAUAGAAAAAAUCAAAAGCUAUAUGCUUUCAGAUCUAAAUACUUACAUUUUUCUAAUUAUUCUCAUGAAAUGUAAUCUAAUUUACUUUAAUUGCAGAUUUCGGGAAGUAGAAGAUAAAGACUGUCAGGAAAUAACAUUAGAAGUGAUAACAGCAGGAGCAAUAGGACCUAGGAGUUCCCAAAAGGAACAUGAAGGAUGUCAUGCCAAAAGGGGCAAAGAGCACAGUCCUCAACUAUGGAAAUAAUUGUGGGCCAAACUGUUAAUGGAAUUUGGGGUGCUGGAGUCUCCUAGAGUACCUGGGAUCGAACUCAGGACCUUGCACUUGGGAGGCAGGCAUGGUGCCACUGAGCUACAUCCCCAGCCCAGGUUUCUGCCCUUUACGUUAUCAACCAAGCUCAACUUUAAAUAUCUCUAAGAGAUUUUUGAUGUGAUGAGUCUGGAAGAAAAAACAAACCAGCCUAAGAAGCUUAAAGAAUCCUAUGAAGGGCAGAUAUGGAUAACAUUGGGUAUAGAGGAUAUUGCCCCUGCACAGG